AGCACUCUGGCUACAGAUUAGAAUGAUGACAAGAGUAAUACCUUCCUAGUAAAGAUGACUUUUAUUUCAGGACUAUAUUAAGUUUCCCAACUUCUGCCAUGAUAUAGUCCAAAGAGAACCUGGACCACGCAGACAUCAAACAGAACAUGACACUGACCCAUUCUAUCAGUGACGUUGUGCUGAUUGCACAGGACAGAUGAGAGGCUUGUAUACCAGAAGUCUUGAUAACUUGUUUUCUAGUUUCACAUGUCCACAGAUGAAGAAAAAUUGUGCCCCAGCAAGGAUUAUACCCAGAGCCUCAUCCAUUCAUACCUGAUUUAGAUACUUAGAUGAUGAGUAAUAGAAAAGGUGGUUCUCAAACUUGGGUCAAAGUUGAAUCACCUGAGGAACUUUUAGAACAUACACAGCCAGCUGGACCUGCCCUUAGCUACCUCAUCUCUCUCUCUGACCUAAUGACAGAAAAGCACAUGAUUCUCUUCACCUGACUUCAUAUAUGGGUCCAUGUCAUAUGAUACUUCAAAAUCUGUGAUUCCAUGAAGCCAAGAGUAGCUCUUCAACAGGAAAUGAAUGAGUGCUUCAGCUUCUGAUCCCAUUAGUAAGAAAAUACAGUCUUAUGAGCAAUGAUGGAGCUGCAUCUCUUAGGGGCAUUUGAUUCCCAAGAGACCAAAGCGCAAAGAGAAUGUCAAUUAAAAAAAAUCAAAUGUUUCCAUGACUUAGCUAUUUAACUGCUUUAAAAUGAAUGAAUGCUGCUUCAAGUUCUUUCAAAUACCCCACAUCUUGGCAACAACGAAAGGAAUUAACAUGAAGAAAAUUUACAAUCUUUCAUCACAUCGAACAAUGUCCCACAUUUGAAAAGUUCACAGCACAGAUUUCUGGUUCCUGAAAGAAACGAAAGACCUUCUUUGGAUUUGAAUAAACAGAUGGACUUUCUU
rnacentral:antisense_RNA from 1 species